AAACCUGUUCCGGUUCCUUUCCACAUUGUGGAAACUUUGUUCUUUAGGUCUUUGCAAUAAAUCUUGCUGCUGCUCACUCUUUGGGGCUGCACUACCGUUAUAAGCUGUAACACUCCCUGCAAAGGUCUGCAGCUUCACUCCUGAGGCCAGCAAGACCAUGAACCCACAGGGAGGAAUAAACAACUCUGCAAGGGAGGAACGAACAACUCCAGCUGCACCGCCUUAAGAAUUGUAACACUCACCGCGAGGGUCUGCAGCUGCUUUCUUGAAGUCGGUGUAUGUAGAAAAGGAAGGACAAUAUCUCAGGAAGGUCAGAGGCUGUAAAACUUGAAGAAAGGAGCCAAGAUCGCCAGAAAUACAGUGGUGGUAUUAUAGCAAACAUGAGAUCCUAAGUCCUUUUUCAAAGCGUGCCUGCUCCCUGCAAGAGGAGGAACAGUGGCCAACCCACUCAAUCAGCUGUUGCCAUGUGGGACCUGUGAAACCUAGCUACCAUGCAAAAAGUCUGACUGACUCGAGAUUACCAUAUUGUGAGGAAGUCCAAGCUAACCACAGGGAGGGGAACUGAGAAACCUAAACAACAGUGAAAACUGAAGUCCGAGAUAGAUGGCCCAAGCUGAGCCAUCAUGGGUGACACUACCAGGGGCCAAGACAGGUUCUCUCUAACAAGCCUGUCCAAGUCACAAAGCGAGGCCACCUUGGUAGGAGAAAGUAAGAAGAUAUGACCAGUUAUCUCCUCCAUCAGACAAAGGCACUAUUGAUUGUUCAGGAAAUUAAGUGGCCCCCUUUGCACCACAGUGCAAAAAAUGUACUCUUCUUUGGUGAAUCUUUAUUAUGUUGAUUGUUAAAGUGAUAUCUGUACAUAUUAAAUGUGUUAUGGCCUUAAGUGUUACAAUCCUUGCUCUGUGUAUAUUUACAUUUAUAUGUGUAUCAAUAUUCUCAAGCAGGAACACAGCACUGCCCUUCCAGCUCCCUCCCCCAGCUAGAGGACAUCUGGCAAUUUGACAUUUUGGUUGUCACAAUCUAGGGGACAGGGCUACUACUAGCAUCUACAGGGUAGAGCCAGUGGUACUGCUAAAUAUCUUAUAAUCCAUAGUACUGCUCCUGCAAUGAAGAAUUAUCUGGCUUAUGAUGUCAAUAAAAAUAAUAAUUUUCAUCAGAAAAGAGUUGUAUCAUUUUCAAAACACUUUCACAUGCAUUAUUUUAUUGAUGCUCAUAAAGUCAUUGUGAGGUAAUAAGCUUUCUAAUUUAUGGAUGAGGAAAUUGAGGUUUAAAAGGGAAAAGUGACUUUACCAAUGUCAUAUUACUAGAAAAGUGAAGGUGUUAGAGCACGAAAAUUAAUCUUCAGCCCUCUCUUACUUUCCAUACUUUUUCCUGGCAAUGUCCUGUGGGCAAAGAUAAAUGUGCCAGUCUCCUUCACUUCAAGCCCAGCAUGGUACUUUCCACUUGCUAGAGCUUCAAAAAUGUGUUUGUUGAUUGACUAAUUAUAAAUGACAUCAAGGACAGUCAACUGUAUUAUUCCCCCCUAGUUUUUAAAUAAGAAAUGUCAACUGAUAUGGUUUGACUCUGUCCCCACUCAGAUCUCAUCUUGAGUUGUAGCUCCCACAAUUCCCACAUGUGGCUGGUGAUAGCUGGUGGGAGGUAAUUGAAUCAUGGGGGCAGGCCUUUCCCAUGCUGCUCUCGUGAUAGCGAAUAAGUCCAUGAGCUCUGAUGGUUUUAUCAAGGGGAAACCCCUUUCACUUGGCUCCUACUCUCUCUUGUCUGCCACCACGUAAGACAUGCCUUUGCUUCCCCUUUGCCUUCAGCCAUGAUUGUGAGGCCUGCCCAGCCAUGUGAAACUGUGAGUCAAUUUAACCUCUUCCAUUUAGAAAUUACGCAGUCUCAGGUAAGUCUUUAGUAGCAAUGUGAGAACAGACUAAUAUAACAACUCAGAUCCCUAGGAAAGAUUUCUGUGUAAUUCAACAUACAUUUCCUGUUUUACAUGAAUAGAUGGCUGUAGCAUGUCUGGUUGUUUUUUUUUUUGUUUGUUUGUUGUUUUGUUUUUUUUUUUUUUAAUUUUGCUCUGGUGUAAAUCUUAGAGUAGUUCAAAAUGUAAAACCCCAAAACUUUUAGCUAGCAACAGGAUGUAGCCAUUCCGUGGCUUCCUUUUAACUGAAUAUGCACAGGCAGAGGAGCCAAGAGAAGGAACCAGCUUUUCUGAGUGACAGCAUAUUUCAAAGACAGGUAAAGGACAAACUGGAACAGAACUGGGGGUAAUACAUUGAAAACAAAACAAAACACAACAAGAAACAGUAACACGCAUGGAUCUCUGCCCAGAUUCCCACCCAAAAACUAAUUUAUUAAGCUGAUAUAAUAACACUGUGCAACAAUAGCCAGGCUAGCUUAGCUUUAUAUUUAGCUCAAGAAGCAAUUAAAGACAAAAAGAAAAAGAACACUCAUACUGUACAUGAUGAACAAAUCACAAGAUGUUCAACACAUUUGUUUAGCAGACAGUAGAAACAAUCCACCUGCAAUUUUUGAAAUGUUCUCCAAACUUGGGUUAAAAUUUUGUAAAACUGAAGCAAGCAGCUAACUUGGUCAAUUCAGUUAAGGGGGGAAGAAAACCCAUAGUUAUUUGGCAAUAUGUCAAAAUACGUUCUGACAGAGAAAAAAACUCCACAUUCAAACUGAUGAUUUGGCUGAAAUUUUCACUUUUUAAUUGGCGCUUCUGUUCUGAUCUGAGGCAGGCUAUUUUUUUAUUUUUAGCAUUCUUUACCUUCUUCCAUGCUUAGAGUCUCAGUUUUUUCUCAUCUUCUGUUUCACAAAGGUUCUAGCUACUGGAACUGAUCUUACUUUUAUCAGUACAUGUAUCAAUUUUUCUACCUCAUGUAUGAGUGCAUAUUGAAUUUCUUUUUAAAACUGAGGACAAAAUUAACUAUGAAUCUUUGCUGUGAGUGCUUGAUAUUUAACAUUGAAAUAUUGAAUGAAGAAGGAGACAGAUUUAUGGUCAACAUGGGAGAUCAUGAGUUCAGUUUUUGUCUAUUUCCAACUUUAGUUUUCUGUUUUCUCAAUAUUUACAAAGAAUAUAAAGGUGAGAAUAAGAUUGUUUGCAAACCUUCUCUAUUAAAAACUUUAUUAUAUAAAUAAAUAUAAAUAUAUGGUUAUAUUUUAGUGCUUCCCUGAUGUAAGGUGAAUGAAAAUUUCCCCUCUCCCGCUUAGUCUUGUCUUAUAUUAUCUGAUGAUUUUUAAAAUAUUAAAUAGACUGGGUUUAAAUAAAUCGAUGGCAUUUGAUGAAAAAUAUUUGAUAUGGUAAAGUAAUGCUGUCAGAAAGUAAGUAAAUAAGCCAGAUUGUUUUCAUUAUUAUGUUAAAGCUGAUAAUGUACCUGUUCGCAUUAAGCAUCCUAAAUAAAAACCAGUUUUUCUCUGAA